rnacentral:rRNA from 1 species
AUUGAACGCUGGCGGCAGGCCUAACACAUGCAAGUCGAGCGGUAGCACAGAGAGCUUGCUCUCGGGUGACGAGCGGCGGACGGGUGAGUAAUGUCUGGGAAACUGCCUGAUGGAGGGGGAUAACUACUGGAAACGGUAGCUAAUACCGCAUAAUGUCGCAAGACCAAAGUGGGGGACCUUCGGGCCUCAUGCCAUCAGAUGUGCCCAGAUGGGAUUAGCUAGUAGGUGGGGUAACGGCUCACCUAGGCGACGAUCCCUAGCUGGUCUGAGAGGAUGACCAGCCACACUGGAACUGAGACACGGUCCAGACUCCUACGGGAGGCAGCAGUGGGGAAUAUUGCACAAUGGGCGCAAGCCUGAUGCAGCCAUGCCGCGUGUGUGAAGAAGGCCUUCGGGUUGUAAAGCACUUUCAGCGGGGAGGAAGGCGUUAAGGUUAAUAACCUUGGCGAUUGACGUUACCCGCAGAAGAAGCACCGGCUAACUCCGUGCCAGCAGCCGCGGUAAUACGGAGGGUGCAAGCGUUAAUCGGAAUUACUGGGCGUAAAGCGCACGCAGGCGGUCUGUCAAGUCGGAUGUGAAAUCCCCGGGCUCAACCUGGGAACUGCAUUCGAAACUGGCAGGCUAGAGUCUUGUAGAGGGGGGUAGAAUUCCAGGUGUAGCGGUGAAAUGCGUAGAGAUCUGGAGGAAUACCGGUGGCGAAGGCGGCCCCCUGGACAAAGACUGACGCUCAGGUGCGAAAGCGUGGGGAGCAAACAGGAUUAGAUACCCUGGUAGUCCACGCCGUAAACGAUGUCGAUUUGGAGGUUGUGCCCUUGAGGCGUGGCUUCCGGAGCUAACGCGUUAAAUCGACCGCCUGGGGAGUACGGCCGCAAGGUUAAAACUCAAAUGAAUUGACGGGGGCCCGCACAAGCGGUGGAGCAUGUGGUUUAAUUCGAUGCAACGCGAAGAACCUUACCUGGUCUUGACAUCCACAGAACUUUCCAGAGAUGGAUUGGUGCCUUCGGGAACUGUGAGACAGGUGCUGCAUGGCUGUCGUCAGCUCGUGUUGUGAAAUGUUGGGUUAAGUCCCGCAACGAGCGCAACCCUUAUCCUUUGUUGCCAGCGGUUAGGCCGGGAACUCAAAGGAGACUGCCAGUGAUAAACUGGAGGAAGGUGGGGAUGACGUCAAGUCAUCAUGGCCCUUACGACCAGGGCUACACACGUGCUACAAUGGCAUAUACAAAGAGAAGCGACCUCGCGAGAGCAAGCGGACCUCAUAAAGUAUGUCGUAGUCCGGAUUGGAGUCUGCAACUCGACUCCAUGAAGUCGGAAUCGCUAGUAAUCGUAGAUCAGAAUGCUACGGUGAAUACGUUCCCGGGCCUUGUACACACCGCCCGUCACACCAUGGGAGUGGGUUGCAAAAGAAGUAGGUAGCUUAACCUUCGGGAGGGCGCUUACCACUUUGUGAUUCAUGACUGGGGUGA